rnacentral:rRNA from 1 species
GACGAACGCUGGCGGCGUGCUUAACACAUGCAAGUCGAACGAAGUGGCGAACGGGUGAGUAACGCGUAAUCAACCUGCCCUUCAGAGGGGGACAACAGUUGGAAACGACUGCUACUACCGCAUACUGAAGGAGGGGAUUGCGUCUGAUAAGCUAGUUGGGGGGGUAACGGCCCACCAAGGCGAGGCUCAGUAGCCGGUCGGAGAGGAGGAACGGCCAGAUUGGGACUGAGAAACGGCCCAGACGCCUACGGGAGGCAGCAGUGGGGAAGCUUCCGCAAUUGACGAAAGUCUGACGGAGCAAAGCCGCGGGAGUGAUGACGGCCUUCGGGUUGUAAAGCGCUGUUAAUCGGGACGCGGUACCGGAAUAGAAAGCCACGGCUAACUACGUGCCAGCAGCCGCGGUAAUUC